rnacentral:rRNA from 1 species
UAAUACGUAGGGGGCCAGCGUUGCUCGGAAUUACUGGGCGUAAAGGGUUCGUAGGCGGUGUGGCAAGUCGGAAGUGAAAUCUCUGGGCUCAACCCAGAGGCUGCUCCCGAAACUGCCAUGCUAGAGUGCGGGAGAGGCGAGUGGAAUUACAGGUGUAGCGGUGAAAUGCGUAGAUAUCUGUAGGAACACCCGUGGCGAAGGCGGCUCGCUGGACCGCAACUGACGCUGAGGAACGAAAGCUAGGGGAGCAAACAGGAUUAGAUACCCUGGUAGUCCUAGCCCUAAACGAUCAGGACUUGGGGUGCAUCCCGUUGGGGGUGCGUCCCGUAGCUAACGCGUUAAGUCCUGCGCCUGGGGAGUACGGUCGCAAGACUG